rnacentral:lncRNA from 1 species
GACCACAGGCACAUGCCACCAUGCCUGGCUGAUUUUUUGUUUAUUUGUUCAUUUACUUUUUGUAGAGACAAGGUCACUUGAUGGUGCCCAGGCUGUGGAGGAUAGUUUUGAUAGGUGAGUUGGUCUGCCACAGAUGAUUCUAUCCUACCUGAAAUCAGUAGUUUGACCUAACUGGAUGAUCUUGCUGCUUUUGCCUUUGAGUGAGUUGAGUGUUGGUCAGAGGAACUCACUAGAUUUUAUAGCUUAUUCAUACAUAUGCAGUUGAUCUCCAGUUAUUCACUGUAAGAGGGGACAGUUUUGGAGAUUCAUAAGAUGUGUACAUGAGACAUUAGUUUAUGAAAGGCUUUUACAGACUUAUAAAGCACUUCCCAGAUGUUAGUUCAUUAGGUCCUUUCAAUUUUGUAAGGAUAAGCAUUAUUAUCUUCAAUUAAGAGUUGAGUUAGGAAAGACUAUUGCCUUCUGUCUUCUAUUUGCUGCUUUUGGGUAAAGUUGGGACUCAAACCGAGAUUGUAUGAGACCACAUCUAGUAUUUUUUCCCAUCUGCAUCCAUUUGGAACUAUAGAAACUGGCUUUUGUGUAAAUCAAUUUGUCUUAUUGCCUACUAUGAAAUAUUAGAACUGUAAAAUAGUGUAUUAUUUACAGAUAUACUCAAAGGACUCUCUCUCUUUCUCUUUACUUUGUCUUAAGUAGAAUGUAAAGCUCACAAAUUGUGUUGUGUUUUGCUUUAACUGUCAACACUUGAAUGUGUUACAUUUUACUUGUGUGUGUUAUUCAGCCAAAGAGAAGGGGGCUUGCUGCCCAAUGCACUAGAGACCAAUGCUGUGACACCAAGUUUUGAGAAAAGAAAAGCUUUAUAUUGCAAGUUGACUAACAAGGAGGCAGGAGUCCAGCUCAAAUGUGUUUCCUCAUGCUGACUUUAAGGCAGUAAUUUUAUAAGAAAAGGUUGAGGGGUAGAUGCUGAGAUUAGCAGGUGAUUGGUGAAAGGAAAGGGGAGGUCUGGUAAAGUCCUCAGGCAUGCACAGUUACCUCUUCAUGCCUCCUCAUGGGUCCCAUGUGCAAAUUGGGGGAGAGUUAGUAUGAAACAUCUGGUAGAAAUGAACACCGUGAUGUCCGCAAGUUAUUUCUGUGCAAACUCCAGUUGGCCAUAUUGGUUUCAACUGAUUUCAGCCAGUUUUAUCUUAUAAGUAGAGAGAGUUUCGGCAUUUCAGCAAGUUGUUUAUUUUUUUAUCUGCCAUCCUGCAAACCAUUUGUUAGUCAUUGGUGUCUUUAACUCUUUAGGGGCAUAGUUUCAUGUCUUGUUUGUUUUUCUUCAUCCUCCAGUUCAGUAAAAUGACCAAAGCAAAAUUGAAGUGCCAGAAGAGAAAUAAGACCUUUGAAUUAUCCAUAGAUAGAAGAGCUUUAACUUUGCAGGGACAUGGAUGAAGCUGGAAACCAUCAUUCUCAGCAAACUAUCACAAGGACAGAAAACCAAACACCACAUGUUCUCACCCAUGCUCUAACUUGAGCUUUAUACCUUUAUUACCCCACUGCAUAUGCCAUGUAUAGUGGCUAGCUGGUAUCCCACCCUCAUGUGAGAAGGGCUAAAUGAAGAGAUGCUGAGCCCCUUCAAAGUGAGUGCUCUACUCUGUUGCAUUGCCCAAAGAUUAGAUUUCUUGACAUUUACCUUAAAACCCUGAACAGUUUGUGCUCGAGAGCUCUGCUAUUUGCUAAACUACUUUAGCAAACAGCAUGCUGUGAAGCAAGACCCCACCAGAGCCCUUUCUGCAAUAUCUUUUAAUUUUGGUUUUCCUAUAUGCCCACGUGUGGUUUUAUAUUAUAGACCAAUGGAAAAAAAAUAAUUUGAUGUGAGUAAUGUUGCUUUUUCCUCCAAUUUUUCACUGCUUUAAAAAAUAAUUGAGGAGAGCCUUUAAUACCUCUUUGAAAAUAAUUAUGAAGGUUUUUUACUAUUUGGAAGAUCAUAGAAUCCACCAUAUAGUAAUUUUUAAAUAUUUUAAAUUGGAUGUUUAACUUUAAAUUAGAAAAAACAACAUUAUUGAAAGCUUUUCUUUAAUAGAAAAAUUGCUUUGAUUUUUAUUUCAUAAUUGAUUUAAAAUAUUAGUUACAUGAAUUAUUAUUUACAACUUGCAUAGUAAUUUUCAUACAUCUCCAUAAUAAAAAUUCACUCUGUAAUCUCUUCUAUAAAAAGAAGUAAACAGCACCUGCCAGAGCACUGUAGCAACGAGAGCCAUCAAGUGUGUAUUCACUUCGUUAUUCAAAACAGCAGUGAAAGAGUUAAUAAAAGCUGAAUACAUUACAGGAUUACAAAGAUUUUUAUUUAUUAGGGGAUAGGGAGGGUAUGGUAUAUAUGGGAUGAAACAUUAAUAACCUCUCUAUUCUGCAAGACUGACCUAUUGCUUUGGAACUACUCUUUUAGCCCCACAGAGACUGUGAAACAGUGUUUUGGUGGUCUAUAGGAAAGGUUCAACUUGGCAAAUGUAGUGGUAAGUGAUGUCACUGAAUGCAUACCAUAUGUAUUGAGAGUCAGUGAAUGCUAUUCUCUCUGCUGCGCACAGGCAUGUGUAAGUGUUGGAAUGGAAAAAUCAUUUUUAUGAAAAUAUAGAGAAGUAAAACAAGAAUGUUCUGUCCUGAGCCUGAUCAGAUCACCAGUAGCUGCCAAGAGUGAACACUCCGUGUAAGGUUUUCUCUUCUUAAUUCUCCAGCUUCCGGCCUUUUGUUGGCUCUCAAAAGUAGUCUAUUCAGAAGGCCUUAUUCAGCAUGUUCUUUCUUGAUAUGAUAUGAACACCAAAUGAAAGUUCCAUUUUCUCCAUUAAAGUAAAGCUGGGAGAAUAUUUUAGUGUGCAUGGUUUGCAGCAGAUGGAAAUGAUUAAUUGAUUUAGCUAACUUGCCAAAUUGUUCUCUUUCCCAGUAGAGUUGGGUUUUAUCAGAGAGACUCGUACUGCUAAUCAUUGUAACACUUACUAAUAUAUCAGAAAGAAUAUAAUUGUUGUGUUUUAAUUAUUCUCAUUACUAUUAUUUAAGACAUGCUCUAAUGCUACACUAAUAGAUAUGGCAAAUAAAUAAGGCAAUUGAUUCCUGUUAGAAAUUUAUGACAUAUAAGAUAGAGUAGAAGAAUACAUGGAGAUAUAAAAAGGUGAAGUAGCCAGUUAUUUUACUCUUAAAUUUUUAUUAGCAAAUCAGUGUCCUUACUAAAAAUCAAAUGGUAUUUUCUUAAGCUUGAAUAGAUGCUAUCUUAAAUCUUAAUCUCUUUUGUAUUUUGUACAAAGACUGCCUGUUAUAACAGUAUGAUUUUAAGUAAUUUUUUAAAAAUAAAAGCAAUAUUUGCCCUUCAUAAUAGGACAUUAGAAAUACAAAUAUAAAUAAUAAA